GUCGCCGUUUGUUCACAAGGAGAGCGGCAAAGGAGGUCGGGACUCGGUGUAGAGCGACGAGCCCAGCGAAGUAGGCCGAUAGCUAUCCGCCAGAGCAGUGAUGAAGGCCGGCUGGUGGAGCGCCCCUGUCAGCGCAGCUUUGCACGGGAUCUCGCGCGGCCAGACAUAGGAAUCGCACAACCUUCUCAAUCCCGACGCUGCGCCCCGAUCGUCGCCGCUCGCCGUUGGAACCGGCACCACGACAGCCGGGAAGGAACCAGAGGUGCAUCGCUUCCAGCACCAGCGCUCUGUCCCUGCAUCUUCCAUCCCCGGGAAGUAUAUAGCUGUUGGAAAAGAUCACUGUUCUUUGAUAGCUCCUUAGGAGAAAAUAGAAGGCACCAUGUCUUUGGUAUUUUCCUGACAACCUUUUACUGGGGCUCUAAGGAUGAUAAAAUCCUGGAAUUAGAGACAGUAUGGUUUAGCUCUCUUGUACUUAUCCUGGAAUUAUGUGCUUACCUACUGCAUACUGAAGCAAUUGGUUCUUCUAGGUUUAGUUACAUGGUAGCAGAUGCUAUGAGCAAGUACCUCUUAGACAAAAGGCUCAAAGGCACAGUUUUAAUAGAAAGCUGA
rnacentral:lncRNA from 1 species